rnacentral:misc_RNA from 1 species
AAAUGCGCUAAGUAGUGUGAAUUGCAGAAUUCAGUGAAUCAUCGAAUCUUUGAACGCACAUUGCGCCCUUUGGUAUUCCUUAGGGCAUGCCUGUUCGAGCGUCAUCUAAACCUUCAAGCCCUGCUUGGUGUUGGGUGCCCGUCCCGCCUCCGCGCGCGGACUCACCUCAAAUCCAUUGGCGGCCCCCGCGUCGGCCACGAGCGCAGCAGAAACGCGAACUCGUGAGCCCGUCCGGGCGGCUCCCAGAAGCUACACCCACCCAGUUUGACCUCGGAUCAGGUAGGGAUACCCGCUGAACUUAAGC